GUGGGGAAUCUUAGACAAUGGGCGCAAGCCUGAUCUAGCGAUGCCGCGUGAGUGACGAAGGCCUUAGGGUCGUAAAGCUCUUUCGCCAGGGAUGAUAAUGACAGUACCUGGUAAAGAAACCCCGGCUAACUCCGUGCCAGCAGCCGCGGUAAUACGGAGGGGGUUAGCGUUGUUCGGAAUUACUGGGCGUAAAGCGCACGUAGGCGGAUUGACAAGUUGGGGGUGAAAUCCCGGGGCUCAACCCCGGAACUGCCUCCAAAACUGUCAGUCUUGAGUUCGAGAGAGGUGAGUGGAAUUCCGAGUGUAGAGGUGAAAUUCGUAGAUAUUCGGAGGAACACCAGUGGCGAAGGCGGCUCACUGGCUCGAUACUGACGCUGAGGUGCGAAAGCGUGGGGAGCAAACAGGAUUAGAAACCCUAGUAGUCC
rnacentral:rRNA from 1 species